CUUGACAUCCAGCGAACUUUCCAGAGAUGGAUUGGUGCCUUCGGGAACGCUGAGACAGGUGCUGCAUGGCUGUCGUCAGCUCGUGUUGUGAAAUGUUGGGUUAAGUCCCGCAACGAGCGCAACCCUUAUCCUUUGUUGCCAGCGAUUCGGUCGGGAACUCAAAGGAGACUGCCGGUGAUAAACCGGAGGAAGGUGGGGAUGACGUCAAGUCAUCAUGGCCCUUACGAGUAGGGCUACACACGUGCUACAAUGGCGCAUACAAAGAGAAGCGACCUCGCGAGAGCAAGCGGACCUCAUAAAGUGCGUCGUAGUCCGGAUCGGAGUCUGCAACUCGACUCCGUGAAGUCGGAAUCGCUAGUAAUCGUGGAUCAGAAUGCCACGGUGAAUACGUUCCCGGGCCUUGUACACACCGCCCGUCACACCAUGGGAGUGGGUUGCAAAAGAAGUAGGUAGCUUAACCCUCGGGAGGGCGCUUACCACUUUGUGAUUCAUGACUGGGGUGAAGUCGUAACAAGGUAGGCGUAGCGAG
rnacentral:rRNA from 1 species